rnacentral:rRNA from 1 species
AUUGCGAGCGAUUUCGCGUGAUUUUUUAUAAGAACCCAGACAGCCAGGAUGUUGGCUUAGAAGCAGCCAUCAUUUAAAGAAAGCGUAAUAGCUCACUGGUCGAGUCGGCCUGCGCGGAAGAUGUAACGGGGCUAAACCAUGCACCGAAGCUGCGGCAGCGA